UCCACUCUUAAUCAAUCUGUGGAAAUGUAAAGAGAUAUGUAAAUACAUGAACAGAGAAAUCUUACUUUCUAUUUAAUUAUACUGUUUUCUUUAAAAUGUUCCUUAAUGUCAGAUGUCAGAAUCUGUUCUGGAUGAUUCAACUGACAACUCUGAAAGCUCAGGGAAGAAUGAACUUUCUGAACAAAAUGUGAAAACUAAUGCGUUAUUUGUGAAAAGUUCUGAAGAAUUCGGAGUGCUCUCAAACUCUUCCACAACCCGUCAAACCUCUGACAGUAGUGGUAAGACUGCACAAAAGAAGUAAAGCAAGCACUAUAUUGUCGGUUUUGUGGGAAGGCAUGAAGAAAGAUAGAACUGCACCUAAAGUGUGAUCACACAAGAGAAGCCGAAGUGAUAAAAGCUUUAAGUCUUGACAAAGACUAAAGGAAAGUUAUUGAAUACUUUCGCCAUUAAAAAGAAAACCAAGCAGAUUUGUGAUCAGGAACACUCAAGCCCUCCUAAUCUUGCCUCUUGCCAGAGUGCUGCCCCGAAAACAAUUAUCCAAAAGUGGAGGGGCUUCUUGUCUCUAAAAUUGACAGCAGCACAGCUCAAAAUGAUCUUACAACAAGGAAGACUACCAGAUCAGCCAUCAAACAAGAUUACAAGAUCAGCCGUCUAAAAGAAGAGUCAAAGAAAAGUUGUCCAAGUUCUCAUUCACAGGGUCCUGAAGGCCAAAGCAAUUCCAUGGAAGACUUGUUGAAGAUACAUCACUGCUAUUACUGCAAGCAACCACAUUAUAGAAUGAUGGAUCAUCUUCAGUCAGUUCAUCCUAAUGAGCCAGAGGUGGCAAACGCUCUUACCUUUGACAAGAGCUCACAAGAAAGGAAACAUCUCUUGAACCUCCUUCAAACUAAGGGAAAUGUUUUACACAGCACAAAUGUGGUUCAAAGUAGUAAACAAGAUUUAAAAACAUUUAUGAGCUUUGCACCAGACUGCUCAUUUGAUGAUAGUGUUUAUUGCAUCUACUGUUUAGGGUUAUUUAACAAGAAGUAUUUUGCUACGCAUUUAGAGCAGUGCAAGGGCAAAUCAACUGACAGCGCUGAGGCUAGCUGUGGUGAAAUUCUUCUCAAUGCUGGGCCCAUUCCUCCAACUCCCACACUUACUACCCCCUGGAGUCCGGAAGAGAUUGAUGCAAAUCUAGAACCAUCGGGUUUUCAUUGGCUAAAUACCACUUAUGGAACAGAGCAGCUAAAUUUGGAUAAUGAACAAGGAAGUUCUUCCCAUCAAGAUGUCACAUGCAGUGUAGGGCAACCAGAUGUCUCAAGUCCAAAUGAGGGGGUUAGAAAUGACGGGCAGACAGAGGGUGCUAAUUUACAAUUCAAACAUUCUCUUGAAAAUGAAGUCGGCUAUGAUUUUUUGUCGGUUAGUUUUCCAUAUCUAAGCACUGGUCAAGAAUCAACAGACUGUAAGAAUGAAGAAAUAAGUCUCCCAAAGUGUGAUGUUGAUCAAGAAAGGACAGUGACGGCAACAUCAGACACCUGCUCCAUCAAAGCUCACCCAGAAUACAACGUUCUCAGAAAUCCAUUUGAUGAUUUUAGUCCACCUCACAGCAACCGAACUGUAUCUAAUGAUGGUGUGAAAGCCAAAACCCAUGGAAAAGGAAGGAAGAGGAUGAGGAAGAGGCGCUCGUGUGUCCAAAAUGAGUCACUGAUCAUGGAUGAUGACUUGCUAGGUGAAGGAGAGAUGCCUAGUUCAAAAAUACAUGUCUGCCAGCACUGCAGGGCAACUUUCUGCAGCUCCUACACGCUGCGCAGACAUGAAUACACUCACACAGGUGAGAGGCCAUUCUGGUGUCAUCACUGUAAUGUGGGAUUCAUCCAGAAGUAUCGCCUUUUAAAGCACACAUUUGCAUACCAUGGGGACACGUCAACUAACACAGACCAGGAAAAACCGAAAAGGCCGAAGAGAAGAAUACAAGGUGGAGAGACAUCAGUGAAGGAUGAAGCUAGCCUUGAGCCAUCAGCAAAGAGCCCUGUUAAUGAUGAAACUGAGGAAAAUGUUGCAGCCACAAAGCAAGACACAGAGGCGAGAGAGUUCCACUGGGAAGAAGCAGGACACAGCAAAGUCAAAGACACAAACUGCUAGAAGUUAUCGUUUACAUCUUAGUGUUGUUGUUUUUUUAUAAGUUACAACAUAUGUUUUAUUUGUUUUGUAAAUAUGUUUUACAGUGUUUUACGAAGUUGUCUGAAUCUGAUAAUGUUAAAUACUUUUAUGGAAUGGUUCAUUUCGGCCUGUUGUAUUAUACAGAUCAUAGCAUAUGUUUAUUAACUCCAGAUUGAGAAUAAAAACAAAGGAUAGAAAAAUCUAAGGGUGUAUUGGUGUAUUUUUUAUUUGUACAGUAUGUGUGUGUGUGUGUGUGUGUGUGUGUGUGUGUGUGUGUGUGUGUGGGAGGGGGGGGACCAUAUCUCUCAAUCUGAAAUGCAACUUAUGACAGUCUGUUUCAGUACAAGCUCUUGUGUCUCCAGUCUUCAGUGUCACAUGAUCCUUCAUAAAUCAUUCUAAUAUGCUGAUUUGGUCCUCAAUAAAAAAAAAUUUAUCAUCAAUGUUAAUAAUUUUGUGGAAACUGAUACAUUUUUUCAGGAUUCUUGAUAAUUACAGUCAUUUUUUAUUUUUUUAUUUUAUUUUUUUUCUGUCACUUUUGAUCAAUUGGAAUUAAAUGUAUUAAUGCCUUUAAAAAAAAAAAAAAAACUUUUGUGCAUGUUAUUCUUCGAACUUUUAAAUAUUUAAGCACAUUUAGAUGCAUUUUUCUGGAACAUUUUUAUUUUCACUUGUUUGGCUAGAUACUUUGACUUUUUGCACAGUAUCUAUACUUUCACUUAAAAUGCAAUAUAAUUUAAAUUGGAUAACUGCCCCACAGAGAACUGGUUUUCUUAUGUCAUAAGAGGGUUCAUAAUAAAGAGGUGUCUGACUCCAGUUGCAUUGUGACCACAGAGCCAAAGCAAAAAAAUGAAUAAAAGUAUGUUUAUUAGUCUCUAUUUCUCAUUACACUUGCUGUGUAUGAUUGUGAAGUUAUGACUGAAUAUACACUGAUGAGCCAGAACAUUAUGACCAGUCACAGGUGAAGCAAAUAUCAUUGAUCAUCUCCUAACAAGGCCACAAUGUUAUGGUCAGGGUACAUUAGAUUGUAAGCAAACAAUCAGUUCUUGUAAUCAAUCUGUUGGAUGCAGGAGAAGUGGGCUGGAAUAAAGAUCUGAGCGACUUUGACAAGGGCCAGAUUUUUAUAUGGUGGCUGGGUCAGAGUAUCUCUGAAAAGGCAAGGUUUGUGGGUUGCUCCUUGUCUUGGCAAAUUCAAUGUCUCAGUGUCGCUUCAGUUCUGGUCUCAAAGAAAGCUCUCAGAGUCAAAUUUCCAGGACCAGCUGUUCAUCUAAAUUUAUCUCUGGCCAGUUCUUAUACAGUUUUCUUAUGUGUUAUUUUGCAACAAAGUGACAUAAUUCUCUGGUAAGAUUCACCCCUCUGGUUUUCCCACAACUAAGUUCUACAUCUUUUGCCUUACUCCCUAAUUGUGGAAUUCUGCCAAUUGAUGGUCAACCCUUUCUCAUAGGCAAAAUUUAACAUAGUAACAAGGACUGUCAACCCAUUCUCAGAGGCAAGAAGCCUCCAAGUGACAUUUAUUUCACACCUCUUAAUAAUGGUCUUGGUCUUUCACAGCCAUCUGUUGUUUACUGGAAAACCCCUGACUUAACCCCUGAAAAAAAAACUGCUUUCAUAGAUGCAUCUGUGUAAUCACAGUCACGUAGGCCAUGAGGCCUCAAAACACUUCUGGCUUUUAUAGUAAGCAAACUAAUUCUACAAUUGUUUUCUAUAGGAUAUAAUAAAAUAUUUCAUUACAUAUCUUUGACAUGUGCCACCUACCUAAACAUUGUUGCAGACCAGGUACACCCCUUCAUGACAAUGGUGUUCCCUGGUGGAAGUGGCCUCUUACAGCAGAAUAAUGCUCUUACCAAACUGCACACAUUGUUCAGGAAUGGUUUGAGGAGCAUGAUGAGUUCGAGGUGUUGCCCUGGCCAGAUACCACAGGACACCUUCAGGGCUCUUGUAUAGUCCAUGCCUUGGUGGGUCAGCGCUGGCAGAAAGCGGAGGACCAACAGCAUGUUGGUUUUUGCUCAUAAAGGCAUAAUGUUUUUGCUCAUCGGUGUAAAUAAUAUGAAUGAUGACGUUAUUUGGCCCAAAGCUGAACAGUAAAACCUGUACUGCCUCCUCCUGUCCUGUGAAGGGUGCUAGAGACACUUCAGUUAGCACAGCAACCUUAUGUGUUGGUGGUUUGAUUUUAAAGGGGGAACUUUCACGCGCUCGUCUCUGCUGUUAUCGCUACCUGUAUUGUCUGUAUUUAUCAUUUAAAUACAGCUCUCUAAAUACAGUAAAAUGACUAAACUUGAUCGUCUGAAUACUUUCAUGACCGAGCGCUUGAUGGCUGCUGUGAAGGAGAUCAUCUUCACAGUCGGCAGAACGGUUCGGGAGUAUGAGGAGGAAACGGAGCGAAUCAGGAGCGAAAACGAGCGACUGAAAGAAAUGUUACGAGACUCAGGGUGCUUCACUGAACGCGCUAAUGCUGCUCCUGUGCAGUCUUAUCAGCCCAUCUCCCCUGUGCAACCUGGAUGGAUCUGCAGCCAGAAUGAGGAGCCAGAAACCUUUGAUGAGAUCCAACAAGACCGAUGCCAGAGGCACGGCGAACAACAUCCGCUCAUAAAACCGGAAAAGCCUGAGUACUCUGCUGACGCUUACCGGGAAUCUGUAGCUUUGCCAUCAGAAGCUAACAACAACGAGGGCUCACACAUGUGCGCUGAUCACACCGAACAGAACACAAAUCCUGUUGAGGAUGAGAUGACAAACUGUCAUUUCCCAGCUAAAAUCAAAGUUGAAUUCAUGAAUUCUAACUUGUGUUCAGGCGAUGCAAUGGGGAGCACCGAAGAUGUAUAUCAGAGCUGGUCACCACGCAGUCCAGACUUGCCUUUAGGGACAUCGGACCCCUGUAGAUCACAACACCCAAACCAGCCGACAUACACUAGCAGUGAAGCUCCUCCCACAGUAUCCCAGCACAGCAGUUCAUCUUAUGAUGCUAAUCACGUUUCAUAUCACAACAUAUUAUGCACCAACAGGUCCUACUGUAGCAGUAAAUGCUGUGAAAUGCAAAAGAGGACAAUAGCCAAAUCAAGCCCUGUAUGGAAGUAUUUCUCUCUAAAAGAAGGAGACUGUAGCAAAGCAGUGUGCAUUAUGUGUAGGGCCGUCAUAUCUCGAGGUCGCAAAGAGUACACAACGUCUGCCCUUCUAAAGCACCUUCGGAUGAAACAUGGAAAUGUGCUAAUCUUUGGCAGUGCUGAGAAGAGACGAAUGAAAGAAAUUACGAGAAAAACUGUGUGAAAACCACUAAACCGCUCUCAGUCAGUAUGGACACUGGCUAUUGUGCGUCACGGCGAGCCGCUGAGUGAACCACAGUGGUUGUGUAACUUUCAGUCUUUUGGUUUGUUUUUAAAGUAAUUGUUUCAUCAAAAUCAACAUCAUAUGGAGUGGGUUGAGAUAAACUAUGUAUGCAUAUGCAGUUGGUCAUCCAAGCCUUUUGAUUAUGGUUACAGACGAAGCGUAAAAUCCUACGGCUUGGAAAAACUGUAACAAUCUUCAGUCUGUAAAUAACUGGUGAAUGGAUGUUUGGUUUCAUCAUUGUAUUAAAAAAAACAAAAACAAUCGGAUGUUAUUUAAUUGAACUUCUAAGGCAUGAUUCAUAUUAAAGAAGACUGUAAUAAAGAUCAUUUUAGGGACAUUUACAGAAUAUUUUACCACCCCACUGAAAUGUAAAAUGUUUCAAGUUUUGAACUGAUUUCGUCUUUUGUACUAAUUUUUACAAUAAAUUAAUUCUGGUUUUACAACA